CUGUAGGUUUGGGACCAGGCCCAGGAGGCUGCAUUGGCAUCAAGCUCCUGGGUUGAUGCUGAAGGCCUGCGGCCCUCACUUUGAGAAACAGGCCAGUUCAGAGCUUGGGCUGAAACUCUCAUCAUUCAGCUCCUUUUCUGUGGCUGGCCCGGUGCUGGGCCGUGUGGGGGACCCUGUAGUGAUCGAAGCAGCCCUUUACCCAGCCUGGGAGUCAGGGAGGGCUUCCUGAAGAAGGAGACCUUGCAGCUGAGACCUGGAGGAUGACAAGGAAUGAGCUGAGAGGACAAGACCUUGCUUGCAUCUCCAGUGCCUUGAACCCUGUCUCCUGGCAUCGAGCAUUAAGUCACAAGCAGCCCCUGACCUGUGCCAGGCCUAGUGUGCUGAAGAUACAAGAAUGAUCAAAGUGGCUGUGCCCUCAUGGGCUUCUGGUCUGGCAACUAAUCAUCAGCGAGUUGCACAGAUGGUAACAGCUGACUGAGUGCCAGGCACGGUUUGAAGCACCUUAUAUGUAUUGACUAAUUCAAUCCCCACAAUAAUCCUGUGUGAGGUGGGAGCUCUUAUUAUCCCCACUGUGCUGAUGGGGAGAGGCCCAGAGAGGGUAAAUGCCUUGCCGGGGGUCACACUGUAGGUUAGGAUCUGAACCUAGGAGUCCCCAGCCUGCGGCAUGUACUAUGCUUGAGGUGUGAGGUCACAUUUGGAUUUGUGCUGGGAGGGAAAGGAGCAGAGCGUUAUGGGAGGAAAUGGAAGGUAGUCGGGGAAGGGCAGCUGAAUAAGGAGUAGGGGGAUGAACGUGCCAGUCCCUCACUGCAGGAUUCGAGGCAGGAUGUUUCAUCCUCUGUAAAAUGAGGGCUGGUUACAGUACCUACCGGAGAGCAGAAUUAAGGGUGACUCACUGGAUGGUGGGCGUGCAUGGUCCUUAUCUAAGGCAAAAAGCAUUUGAGGGACAGUGGGGGAGGCGCUUCUGAUACCCCAGGGGGUGGUGAUGGGCUACAGUGUGCACUAUGGAGGUCUGGAUCGUGGGGUGUCCUAAAGGGUUUGGGGGGUCUCUGCAUUCCAGGGGGAUCGUGUGGAAGGCUUUGGUCUGUGUUUUGGAGGAGUGCAGGGCUCCAUCCGGCCCCAGUUCACCCACGUGGUGGGAGGGGUUGCCGUGAACUCGAAAAGGGGGCUAGGAGCGGUCACUCAGGCCAGGCCACGUGUGUGAAUGUGAGGUGGGGUGUACGCUGUUUUGGAUACUCUAGCUAGGUCAAUGGCUGGCGGGACUAUUUGGUGCUGGGGGCGGGGUGGGGUCAGAUAGUGGGAAAACAGCCCUCAGGGGUGGGAGCUGCUAGAAGCAGUGAUUUACCCGUGUCUGGUGUGGGAAAUGGUGAUAUGGAUUUGUUUUGGGGGAGCCCAGCGUGGAGAAUUGUCAGCUCCGGAGCUGGGGGGAGGGCUGUGAAAUCUGAAAUUUCCGGGGAGCACAAUUUGGAAGGAGGAGCCAGGGGUAGUGAUGUAACACUGGAAAUGGAGAGGGGGCGUCGCCUUAGUGAACGAUGAGAGGGCUGGAGGUUGGAAAACUGUGUGCGCGCGCGCGCGUGCACUGGAGCCAUGAUGUCAUGAGACCGGAGAAAUGGGGUCGGGUGUGCGGACCAGAGCGGGGCGCUCGGGAGUCCACACCGAGCGCUCAACAAGGUGGAAGUGCUGACGUCACGGGUUGGCAGCGGCGGGGCCUCAAAGGCCCGGCAUCCUGGCUGUGUUGCUGGGGUCAAGAAGCUGAGGCGAAGAGGAGCUGGGAGAGCCUUGGGACUGGAACAAAACCAGCAACCAGGAUGGGCCACUUGUCGGCGGUCACAGAGCGCUGGUUGGAGUCACAGAGCAAGGAUGGAGGAUGCAGCAACACUGGCCAUGGACCAGCCAGCCGGCCUGCAGGUGGACUACCUCUUCCGGGGUGUGGAGCAUGCUGUGCGGGUGAUGGUGUCUGGGCAGGUGCUAGAGCUGGAGGUGGAGGACCGGAUGACGGCCGACCAGUGGCGGGGAGAGUUCGAUGCCAGCUUCAUUGAAGAUUUGACUCACAAGACAGGGAACUUCAAACAGUUCAACAUCUUCUGUAACAUGCUGGAGUCAGCCCUCACCCAGAGCAGUGAGUCGGUCACCCUUGACCUGCUGACCUACACAGAUCUGGAGUCCCUGCGGAACCGAAAGAUGGGGGGCCGCCCAGGCCCCUUGGCCUCGAGAUCAGCCCAGCUCAACUCCAAGCGCUACCUGAUCCUCAUCUACUCUGUGGAGUUUGACAGGAUUCACUACCCGCUGCCCCUCCCGUACCAGGGCAAGCCGGACCCUGUGGUCCUGCAGGGCAUCAUUCGCUCACUAAAGGAGGAGCUGACCCGCCUUCGAGGGCUGGAUGGCCAGGAUGCUCGGGACAGUCGGGAAACUGAGAUCUGGCACCUGCGGGAGCAGGUGUCGCGCUUGGCGGCUGAGAAGCGCGAGCUGGAGGCCCAGCUAGGCAGAUUGCGAGAGGAGGCGCUGGCCGGGCGGGCGGCGCGCCAGGAGGUCGAGGCACUGCGCGGGCUCGUGCACGGCUUGGAGCUGGAGUUGCGGCAAGAGCGCGGCCUCGGGCACCGCGGGUCCGGCCGCCGAAGCCAGGAUUGCCGCCGCCUGGCCAAGGAGCUCGAGGAGGUGAAGGCGUCGGAGCGGAGCCUGCGUGCCCGGCUGAAGUCCCUGAACACCGAGCUGGCCAUGUACAAGAGGGGGAGACGGACUCCGCCGGUGGCGCCGCCCUCGGCCCGGGAAGAUCGGGCUUCGACCUCCCGGGAACGCUCCUCGUCGCGUGGCCGUGGCGCCGCGCGUUCUUCAUCCCGAGAGAGUGGCCGCGGGGGCCGGGGUCGAGGCCGCCCUACCCGCCCCUCGCCCUCGCCCACAGGUGGUCGCGUGCCGCGUUUCGACUCAACAGCCUUUGUGAAAGCCAAGGAGAAGAAGCAGAGAGACAUCAAGAUGAAUUGGGCGCACAGGUGGGCGUCUCCUUUCUCGUUCCCCAGGCAGCAGCAGCAGCAGCGGAACCGAUUGGGCAGCGGAGGAAGCGGGGACGGUCCAUCCAUCUCCUGGUCUCGCCAGACUCGGCCCCCCGCAGCCGUGACCGGUCGAGGAGACGCGGCUAACCGCUCCCGAAACCGCAGCUCCUCGGUGGACAGUUUCCGCAGCCGCUACUCGUCCGCCAGCUCCUGCAGCGAGUUGGAAGAUUUCUCCGAAUCCCUCCCUAGAGGCGUUCGCCGCCGGGGGAAGCCGCGCAGCCCCACCACCUGGAGUGUGUCCAAUGCGCAGCAGAAGUCUACCCCCCUGGAACGCGGCCGCCAUCAGAGACGCCUGGCCAAUUCAGGGGGCUGGGUCCCCAUCAAAGAGUACAGCUCGGACCACCAGGCGGCUGACAUGGCCGAAAUAGACGCCCGCCUGAAGGCCUUGCAGGAAUACAUGAACCGACUGGAUACACGGUCGUGACCUCGGAGAGGGACUCCUGCCGCUCCAACCCCACCCACCGCUGGAUUCGGCGUGGGGGGCGGGGCCGGUGUGUCUUUCUGGCCCCGCCCCGGCCCCGCCCCUCCUGGUGCUCUUGGGGUCUCAGGGAUUUCUCCCGGGCCCAAGUCCGAUGUCAUUUAACCCUUGCAGCAAACUGAAGAGGUGAGUAUCGGGAAACCCAUUUCACAGUUGAGUAAACUGAGGCUGGAAGAGGGCUAGUCAUGUUGCUGACACAUGGAGGAUAGUAGAGCCUAAGGGUCCAGAGCCCCCAUUCAGAGCCAGGCUGCUUGCUUUUGAAUUCUGGUGACAGUCCAGUGUGUGAGCUUGGGCAAGUGACUUAACCCUUCUGUGCCUCAGUUUUCCCCACCUGCAAAAUGGGGCUGAUACUAUAAAGUACCUAACUCAUGGGUUGAUCCCUUAGAAGAUGUCUGGCUCUCAGUGCCACGUAAACAUCACUGGGAUUUGACCUCCAAUCUGCCCUUGGUAGUAAGCUACAUGCUUCACAUAUGUGCUGCUGGCAGCUCCAUUCUGCACAGGAGGAAAUCUGAGGUCCAGAGAGGAAUAGCUAUUGCUUAGCACCACUCAUUGGCUUGGGAUCACCUAUCGGGGCAGAAGACUUUCCAGGGCACUCUGCCCUGCCCAGGUCUCCUUUCCCACUAGAGGCACCUGGUGAGUUCAGGGUAGACUGCCUGGUUUGCUUUUCCUCCUUUGCUUCUAUUCUAAUGGAUUAAACAAAAUUUUUCUUUUUAUAAAAGUAACAUAUGCUACACUUUGCUGUACAGCAGAAACUAACACAACAUUGUAAAUCAACUAUGCUCUCAUAAAAAUUUUUUUAAAAAGCGAAGCCAGGACUUCCCUGGUGGUACAGUGGUUAAGAAUUUGCCUGCCAAUGCAGGAGAGAUGGGUUUGAUCCCUGGUCCGGGAAGAUUCCACAUGCCUUGGAGCAAUUAAGCCCAUGUGCCACAACUACUGAGCCUGUGCUCUAGAGCCUGUGAGCCACAACUGUUGAACCCAGGUGCCACAACUACCAAAGCCCAUGUGCCUAGAGCUGGCUCUCAGCAACAAGAGAAGCCACCGCACUGAGAAGCCCGUGCACCACAAUGAAGAGUAGCUCCUGCUUACUGCAAAUAGAGGAAGCCCACGCAGAGCAACAAAGACCCAACGUAGUCAAUAAACAACUAAAUUUAAAAAAUAAAAUAAAAUAAAAAAGUGAAACCAAAUCCGGCCUGUGUACCCCGACACUGAAUUAAAUCUCAGAGACAGAGUUUUGGGUGAAGUAGAAAAGAAUAGCUUCAUUGCUUUGCCAGGCAAAAGGGGCUGUAGCAGGCUAAUACCCUCAAAACUGUGUGUCCCAACUUGGAGAGGGUAGUGAGAAUUUUUAUAGUAAUUGUUCAAAGAGGGUGUGAUCAGCUCUUGGACAUUCUUCUGAUUGGUUGAUGGCGAGGUAAGUAAGAGUCAGCAUCCUCAACCUUCAGGUUCCAACUUGUCUGGGGUCUACGUCAGGAUUUGCAAAACAGCGCAAAGAUAUUGCUGUGUGUAUUGAUGGGGAACCAGGACCUUGCCCCAAGGCUGCACUAUUGUUUCUCUUAACUGUUUCUCCCUUGUCUUCAGCCCCUUUCUUCCCUAAUUAACAACUGCUUGAAUCUGCCUGUUGGAACUCAGGGAAGGUCAAGGAGGCUGAGUAAAGGCU